rnacentral:rRNA from 1 species
UACGUAGGUGGCAAGCGUUGUCCGGAAUUAUUGGGCGUAAAGAGCUCGUAGGCGGUUUGUCGCGUCUGCUGUGAAAACUGGAGGCUCAACCUCCAGCCUGCAGUGGGUACGGGCAGACUAGAGUGCGGUAGGGGAGAUUGGAAUUCCUGGUGUAGCGGUGGAAUGCGCAGAUAUCAGGAGGAACACCGAUGGCGAAGGCAGGUCUCUGGGCCACUACUGACGCUGAGAAGCGAAAGCAUGGGGAGCGAACAGG